GACGAACGCUGGCGGCGUGCUUAACACAUGCAAGUCGAACGGAAAGGCCCUGCUCUUGUGGGGUGCUCGAGUGGCGAACGCGUGAGUAUCACGUGAGUAACCUGCCCUUGACUUUGUGAUAACUUCACGAAACUGGGUCUAAUAUCGGAUAGGAUCUCCUGCUGCAUGGUGGGCGUUGGAAAGUUUCGGCGGUUGGGGCUGGACUCGCGGCUUAUCAGCUUGUUGGUGGGGUAGUGGCUUACCAAGGCUUUGACGGGUAGCCGGCCUGAGAGGGUUACCGGCCACAUUGCGACUGAGAUACGGCCCAGACUCCUACGGGAGGCAGAAGUGGGGAAUAUUGCACAGUGGGCGGAAGCCUGAUGCAGCAACGCCGCGUGCGGGAUGACGGCCUUCGGGCUGUAAACCGCUUUCGCCUGUGACGAAGCGUGAGUGACGGUAAUGAAUAAAGAAGCACCGGCUAACUACGUG
rnacentral:rRNA from 1 species